rnacentral:rRNA from 1 species
GACGAACGCUGGCGGCGUGCUUAACACAUGCAAGUCGAACGGAAAGGCCCUGCUUUUGUGGGGUGCUCGAGUGGCGAACGGGUGAGUAACACGUGAGUAACCUGCCCUUGACUUUGGGAUAACUUCAGGAAACUGGGGCUAAUACCGGAUAGGAGCUCCUGCUGCAUGGUGGGGGUUGGAAAGUUUCGGCGGUUGGGGAUGGACUCGCGGCUUAUCAGCUUGUUGGUGGGGUAGUGGCUCACCAAGGCUUUGACGGGUAGCCGGCCCGAGAGGGUGACCGGCCACAUUGGGACUGAGAUACGGCCCAGACUCCUACGGGAGGCAGCAGUGGGGAAUAUUGCACAAUGGCCGGAAGCCUGAUGCAGCAACGCCGCGUGCGGGAUGACGGCCUUCGGGUUGUAAACCGCUUUCGCCUGUGACGAAGCGUGAGUGACGGUAAUGGGUAAAGAAGCACCGGCUAACUACGUG